UCAGGGUAGCCAUGCUUCGCUAAAAUAUUAAUGAAUCGUCGUAUAUUUAUACUUGGGCAGACGUUAAAUGAAGAUAAUAUAUAGGAUAAAGUGGAAGAUAAUAUUUCGACAGAUAUUGCAGAAAUAUAGUAGGAUACGAUGGUUAUGAUAACAUGGACAUGAUAGAAUGGCUGAAUGGAUUUAAUAUGAUUCUUUUAAUUAAUCAUGACACUAGGCUUAUCUUUGCAUCGAAUAAUCAAUUGGAACGUGGAUAUAACGAUAAGAAAGAUAUUCGAUAAUCGAGUGACUUUCGUGACUUCGAGUGAUUUCGCUCAACGUCCAACGAACAGCUCGAAACCGAAUACCAGGAACAGUAAGAAAAUAUUUACCAAUCAUUUUAAAAUCCGAAAUAAAUCACGUACAUUUGCUAAAGAUAAUAAAUGAACAGAAUUAAAUAUUCCAGAGUUACAAGAGACGUCCCCCUUUUUUUUCUUAACAAGCUUCUUAUUAUUCGCCAUGAGAAUUUAAUACCAACAAUUUGUGUUUCGCGUGACUUACAAAAUUUUAGUAAUAAGAUUAGUUCAAUUGUAUAAGAGAGCUCUGGAAUAAUUUAUUUCGGCUUUAUUUGCAUUUUAUUUAAAGGGACAAAGUCCAAAGAGGGACUGAUACUCUCUUUUUUUCGAGUUUCUUCUACACAAAAGGGAGGAGCGUUUCGCAAGCUUACCCUUCGUACAAUAAAUAGAAGGAGCUACAUACGUUCUUCAAUGGUGAAGAUCGCGGUAAACUUACGAAAUUUGGAAACGUCAGGGGUAUCGUAAGGUUUCUGCAAAUCUUUUUUAUGGAUUCCCGUGAUUCUCGAUUUACUGCCGCUUUUCGUAUUUCUUGUGCGUAUUAAAGGACCUUGCACGGCGCAAUCUCAGCGGGAAAUCUUUGCAAUAAAACGUCCAGCUGUUAACCACAGCUGCCAUCGUUGAUAGAAAAAUUUGGAAAUGUCGUAAAAGUCAUGAUUGUCGAAGUAACACGUGCACGUUGUUGAAGUAACAUUGUGAAAAACAAUUUAGAGGAGACAAUUAUUAUAAUAGAAUUUCUCGAAUAAUUAGUAUGACCUGGGCUACGUGAAUAAAUAGUCGUGUUUGGUGUGGCAUUAUCAGUUUCCCAUUAAAUUUAGUUGUUCUUUUGGCAAUCGCCGUAAGAGAUUCAAAGCAAACAAAUCCAUCAACUGUAGGUAUUUAUUAAACAUUUCAGAACUAAAAAUUAAAGAGAAAGAGAGAGAGAGAGUAAUGAUUCAUCAAUUUUUAUUUCGCUAAUCUAAAAUAAAUUUGCUAAGCAAAUUUGUCAAUACGUUUACCCAGGACCACCUUUACCUAGUUUGAUGCAAAUGAGAAACGAUAAGUGUUAGCAACACCAUUUCCAAGAAACUUGAGGCACUAUGUCAAACUUAGUUGACACGAGAAGCAACCACUGUACGCCCAACUGACGGUCACGGAAUACAUUACUUCUUGAUACAA